UUCACAAUCAGCAAAUUAAAACCGGAACAAAAAGCAUCAAAAAGAAUCAAAAAUCAGCAAAAAUCAACAAAAAUCAUCAAAUGUCUACAGAAAUACGAAAGCGCCGGCGAGAAAAGGAGGUGAAAAAAUGGACGGAAGCUGAAAUUAAAACCGUGCUGUCCUAUAUGCAGGAUCACCGAAACGUCGAGAAACCAACAGCGAGAAUCUACUACACUAAGUUGCUUGCAGUGACAAAAAUUGAAGCAACGUGGAACAUCUUAAAAUGUAAGAUUCGCUAUUUAAAAGCCAAAUAAAAUCGGCAGAACACUGGCUAAAUUCCACGGGCGUUGGAGUAGAGGAUGGCGAUGUGGAGCUGACUGUGA